GGUGGGCGGCAGAACGAUGGCGGAUGCGGAGAAAAAUGCUGUUGCAGAGAAAAACGCUGUUGAGACCAAAGAGGUUCUGGAUGAGGCAGCAAGCGUUCUAGAACCUGUAGGCUUGCAGGAGGAAGCAGAGCUGCCUGCCAAGAUCAUGGAGGUAUUUAUGAGGAUCUUUCGGAAGAAGGACACGCUGCUCUGUAGCCAGCUCCAAGUUGUGAACUUCCAGACCUUUCUGGCUCAGGACGAUAAUACUGACCAAAACUUAGAUGCUUUGGCUUCUGAAGAUAAAAGUCGACAAAAGGCAAAUGAAACUAAGGAGGAGUGGAAGGACAUGAAGAUUACAUACAUGGAUCAUGUGGAUGUCAUAAAAUGUGCCCUGUCUGAGGCCUUACCCCAGGUGAAAGAGGCUCACAGGAAGUACACAGAGCUUCAGAAGGCUUUUGAGCAACUGGAGGCUAAGAAGCGAGUCCUUGAGAAGAAACUUCUACUAGCUCAGAAGCAGUGGGUGCUGCAACAGAAGCGUUUGCAGAAUCUGACAAAGAUUUCUGCAGAGGUAAAGAGACACCGGAAGAGGGCUCUGGAGAAGCUUGAUGGAUCACAUCAGGAACUUGAAAACUUGAAGCAGCAAGCAGGACAGGAACAGGAGAAGCUGCAGAGGAAGCAGAGCUACCUCCAGCUGCUGUGUUCCCUGCAGAAUAAGCUGGUCAUCUCUGAGGCCAAGGCUGAGGACAAAGAUGGCAAAGGGCGAGAUGUUAAAGGGCGAGAUGUCAAAGGGCAAGUCCUUCCACCCAAAUCUCUCUAA